rnacentral:rRNA from 1 species
AUUGAACGCUGGCGGCAGGCCUAACACAUGCAAGUCGAACGAGUGGCGGACGGGUGAGUAAUGUCUGGGCAACUGCCUGAUGGAGGGGGAUAACUACUGGAAACGGUAGCUAAUACCGCAUACCAUCAGAUGUGCCCAGAUUGGAUUAGCUUGUUGGUGGGGUAAAGGCUCACCAAGGCGACGAUCCCUAGCGGGUCUGAGAGGAUGACCAGCCACACUGGGACUGAGACACGGCCCAGACUCCUACGGGAGGCAGCAGUGGGGAAUAUUGGACAAUGGGCGCAAGCCUGAUGCAGCCAUGCCGCGUGUAUGAAGAAGGCCUUCGGGUUGUAAAGUACUUUCAGCGGGGAAGCGGUACCCGCAGAAUAAGCACCGGCUAACUCCGUGCCAGCAGCCGCGGUAAUUC